rnacentral:sRNA from 2 species
UCCCCUCACCAAGAUGGUGUUUCUGAGAGAGGAAUCCACACAAUAAUGACACGCGCUAGGGCAGUGCUUAUAGACAUGGAUAUACCAAAGAAGUUCUGGGCAGAUGUUCUCAAAACAGUGGUUGCAAUUACCAACAACACACUGACAUCUACCACUCUAUAUAAUGAGAAAUACUGGCCUAUCAACACCGAAGAAGCACCUAUAUGAUGCCUCUAUACCAUCCCAUUCUCAGCACUAAUCAAUGCCCUGCCCCAACUUCGCCAUUUUAGGGAGCUAGGUGUUGAUGUUUAUGUGCAUCUUCAUGAAUCUCAAAAACCUACUGAUAAGCUGUCUGCUAGGGCAGAAAUUUUUAAACUUAUAGAAUUCUGUGGUAACUCAAUCUACUGUCUCUGAAGUUCUAUAACUGAUAAAAUAAUUGUCAUCAGUGAUGUUGUUUUCUCUGCAAAGGAAUCUACAACUCUGCAGAUUGAUACUAAUUAUAUGAUAUCUGAAGCUGCAAGUUCAGCAACUUAUCUUGUUGACAAUGCUGCUGUUUCUGAAUUAGCCAACACCAAAUGAGUAAGAUCAGUGAAAGUGUUCAUCAUCUACAUCCCUUCUCCCCUCAUUGGUUCUGUUCUGAAAGAAUAUAAGAAUGCUGUUAGUAGACAUGGAGGGGUUGGUGAAUAUUGGCAAAAGUUGAUGAAAUGUGAGAUUGCAGAUUUGGAAUAAAGAAAUAUUUGAACAAUGGUCCCACAUUCUGACAUCUCUUCUGAUGAGCCAGUGGCCCCCAGCCACUGAGUUUAUGUUGAAAAAGAUUGCCCUCAGAACCCCAAUGUGGAUUCUGAUGAUAUAUUACAAAAAUCUCAAUGGAUAGUGUGCAGC